GUUUCGACAAAGCUUCCGGUUCCUGUUAUCGACAAACUACAAACAAUUCUUUUUGACCAAGAAGACGUCAAUUCAAUGACUUUAAAGGAUUCUGAUUGACUGGUGGCAGAAGGGGUAUGAAUAUAAAGUGGCAUUAAGGCCUUGCAGACAGACUUAACAAUAUGAAUAACAUGCUGAAGUUGCAAUAACAGUUUGACGAAGACCCACAUGUAAUCCCAUAUUGACGGUUGUAGAACUCGUACCAACAGAUUUCACUUGGGAUAUAAUGGCAAGUUGGGAUGAGAAACUUCUUACAGCUGCAAAGGAGGGGAAUAUAAAAGAGGUAGAAUUAUGUGUAAAGAACAGAGCUAACUUGGAAUGUAGAGGAGGUG